CAGCUAGUUGGUGAGGUAACGGCUCACCAAGGCGACGAUCCUUAGCUGGUCUGAGAGGAUGAUCAGCCACACUGGGACUGAGACACGGCCCAGACUCCUACGGGAGGCAGCAGUGGGGAAUAUUGGACAAUGGGCGCAAGCCUGAUCCAGCCAUGCCGCGUGAGUGACGAAGGCCUUAGGGUUGUAAAGCUCUUUUGGCGGGGAAGAUAAUGACGGUACCCGCAGAAUAAGCUCCGGCUAACUUCGUGCCAGCAGCCGCGGUAAUACGAAGGGAGCUAGCGUUGUUCGGAAUCACUGGGCGUAAAGCGCACGUAGGCGGAUGUGUCAGUCAGGGGUGAAAUCCCGGAGCUCAACUUCGGAACUGCCUUUGAUACAGCACGUCUUGAGUCCGAUAGAGGUGGGUGGAAUUCCUAAUGUAAAGGUGAAGUUCG
rnacentral:rRNA from 1 species